ACCUACGGGGGGCAGCAGUGAGGAAUUUUGGACAAUGGGCGCAAGCCUGAUCCAGCCAUGCCGCGUGAGUGAAGAAGGCCUUCGGGUUGUAAAGCUCUUUCGCAAGGGAAGAAAAGCCCCUCAAUAAUACCGGGGGGUCAUGACGGUACCUUGAUAAGAAGCACCGGCUAACUACGUGCCAGCAGCCGCGGUAAUACGUAGGGUGCGAGCGUUAAUCGGAAUUACUGGGCGUAAAGCGAGCGCAGGCGGUUUUGUAAGUCAGAUGUGAAAUCCCCGGGCUCAACCUGGGAACUGCGUUUGAAACUGCAAGGCUAGAGUGUGUCAGAGGGAAGUAGAAUUCCACGUGUAGCAGUGAAAUGCGUAGAGAUGUGGAGGAACACCGAUGGCGAAGGCAGCCUCCUGGGAUAACACUGACGCUCAUGCUCGAAAGCGUGGGGAGCAAACAGGAUUAGAUACCCGGGUAGUCGU
rnacentral:rRNA from 1 species